GGACAGGUGGCCGAGUGGUUUAAGGCUCUGGUCUUGAAAACCAGCGUACGGGAAACCGUACCGUGGGUUCGAAUCCCACCCUGUCCG
rfam:Ensifer sp. Root278 contig_9, whole genome shotgun sequence.